rnacentral:lncRNA from 1 species
AGAUGGGGGGAGAGGCCCUGCAACGCCCAUAUGUGCCCCCACAGCCAUGUUAGGAACAGGAGGAGAACCUCAUCCUAACAUGAGCAAAGUCGAAGGUCCGGUUACAUUUAGACCGGAUGGGGGGAGAGGCCCUGCAACGCCCAUAUGUGCCCCUAUAGCCAUGUUAGGAACAGGAGGAGAACCUCAUCCUAACAUGAGCAAAGUCGAAGGCCCGGUUACAUUUAGAUCGGAUGGGGGGAGAGGCCCUGCAACGCCAUAUGUGCCCCCACAGCCAUGUUAGAAACAGGAGGAGAACCUCGUCCUAACAUGAGCAAAGUCGAAGGUCCAGUUAC